rnacentral:lncRNA from 1 species
GCAUAGCAUGCACGGAGCACCCGUAGAGCGGACAUCCUCAUAUCAUUUUGCCUAGGAAAACUUUAUAAAUAUAUAUAUAAAAAAUAAAAGAAUUGGCGCGUGGCUGAGUUUGACGGGAAAUGGGGAAGUAAACUGAAGGAGCUCAAACAGCGGGUUCCACACCACAGUAUGUUGCAGCUGUCAGAGUGGAGAGACAGCCUGACGGGAGAAAGAUGGAUGUUGCUGCUAACCGUUUGCUGGCACGGAAUCGUUGGAGGUCUUCAACACGUGUGUGUUCGAAGGGGACGAAGACAACUCGGAAAAUGUAUGAGAUUCGACGAGCACUGCCUGUUUUAAAAAAACGAAAGUAUGAUGAGAGAUGUGUUUCAACAUCAAGGUUUCCUCACAGACCUCAAGCUAAAAGCUAGGUUGUGCCCUUUUAAUGAAUUUGGGGAUUCAAUGAUUUGCGACCAGAUAGUUUUUGGAACCAACUACAAGAAAAUGAAGCAAAAGCUGUUACGGUGCGUGGCACUCACGUUGGGUAAUACAGGGGGAUGUGCCAGGCUGGUGAGCUGGCAAAGCAGCAUGAGGCUUCCGAGACACCACACAUGGAGCAGCCUGUCACGUGGCGAGGCUGUGGACGCCAUUUCAGUAAAAGAAAAGCACCCAGUUCAGAUACAAGGACAGCUAGAACCUUCACGGUACAAUCUCUGAAGAUGGACAAGUGUUUAGGAGGAAC